rnacentral:rRNA from 1 species
AUUGAACGCUGGCGGCAGGCCUAACACAUGCAAGUCGAACGGUAACAGGAAGAAGCUUGCUUCUUUGCUGACGAGUGGCGGACGGGUGAGUAAUGUCUGGGAAACUGCCUGAUGGAGGGGGAUAACUACUGGAAACGGUAGCUAAUACCGCAUAACGUCGCAAGACCAAAGAGGGGGACCUUCGGGCCUCUUGCCAUCGGAUGUGCCCAGAUGGGAUUAGCUAGUAGGUGGGGUAACGGCUCACCUAGGCGACGAACCCUAGCUGGUCUGAGAGGAUGACCAGCCACACUGGAACUGAGACACGGUCCAGACUCCUACGGGAGGCAGCAGUGGGGAAUAUUGCACAAUGGGCGCAAGCCUGAUGCAGCCAUGCCGCGUGUAUGAAGAAGGCCUUCGGGUUGUAAAGUACUUUCAGCGGGGAGGAAGGGAGUAAAGUUAAUACCUUUACUCAUUGACGUUACCCGCAGAAGAAGCACCGGCUAACUCCGUG